UGUGUGUGUGUGUGUGUGUGUGUGUGUGUGUUUGUGUAAUAUAUAUAUGUUCAAGAGGCGAUGACGAUGAAACCUUCCUUGGGGGAGGCGGUGGCGGGGCAGCUCGGAUGGCUUUGCCGCUGCUCCGCAGGGCAAGCAACCGCUGCAGCCACUCCUCCAACAGAUAACGGAUGGUUUGUUCUCCAACCUGUCGGUGAUGGAUCAAAGGCGAAUCCGAGCCUCCCUUUCUUCCUCCUGUUUCCGUCCUUCAAGAUCAUUCCAAUAUAUUCUUUUUCUCUACAAUCUUUCUUCCAUUUUCUCUCUUUUGGAUCACAUUCAGUCUGAAGCUUGAUUCUUUCUACGGGUAAUCGAUUCAGCAUUCCUGCUUCGAUUUUAGGUUGUUGAUCUAUAUUUAGGGUUCUUCUUUUUUCAAGAUUUCCUUUUUGUUUAUGGUGCGGUGUGUGUCUGAUUUCCAAUUCGUUUAGAAUUUCUGGUUUCGAACUCUGCAUUUUAAUUUUGUGAUUGAUUGGUGUGGCUAAUAGAUGCCUACAUUUAUAGGGUUUCAAUUUAUAGUGUUUCAUGGAUUUGGAAUGACCUGAGGCAGGCAAGGAACUUCGAACCCCAAGGCUUGCAUGACUAGGGUUUCAAUCUAUAGUAUUUCGUGGAUUUGGUCGUUCUAUUUUUUUUGUUGUGUUGCAACCCCCAAAUUUAUUCUGAUAUUAUAAGCUUCGAAUAAAAUAAUCGAGACUUCAAUUCAAGCCGAGAGAUGGUGGCCGUAGCAGAGUCUGACAUUGAUGAGACGUGUCGGGCUCUUGCUGGAGGUGAUGAGUAUCCGCUCCUUCCCAAAAGGGCUGCCGUAUGAGACUGUUUAUCUAAUAAAAAUACGACUUUGAUGAACAGAUUCGACUGCUGUGCAAAUUCCUUAAUGCAAACUAACAUUUUCUUUGGGCAAUUGCCCAAAAUAAAUCUUCAAGAUCUGGGGUUUCCAUCUUCACGCUCUACGAUGGCUUUAUGCAAUCUUCACGUUUUGAUGUCCUGUUUCGUACCCAUUUUUUCGGUUCUUCGAGACCUUUUUGUACCUCUUUGCCUUUUGCAGCCAUCUCUUGGUUCUGUUAUUCAGAAGUCUCUUACAUGCCGAUGUGGGAUCGCGUGGGCUUUGAAAUUUUUGGCCGUGAUCUGCAUAUCAGAGUGUCUGAAUUCUCAAACUUACAAACUAUUGUGUGCAGAAGAGAUGCCAGGAACAAAAGUUCUUUGAUGUGUAGUCAGUCAUCUUUUAUAUCUUUUCAGAAGCUACAGAUUGGAUAUGGCCUGAACCAGCAGACGUCACAAUCUUUGCCAAGUCAGCUGCUUGGCCACCAUACUACUUCGGAGGGGAGUUGGGCGGUAUCUAGUUGCAAUAAGACUAAGUCAGGGCAAUUCAAAGCCUGCGGCCACCUGCAUGCCUGAAAUGAAAUAUGCAC